rnacentral:lncRNA from 1 species
CCAAAUCAGCAUAUCCAACCGUUAUCUUUCACAGUAGGUCACUUGACUGAGUGAAAAGACUUAUUUGCUCUUGAUUUGAAAAUUAAGCAUUAAAAAUGCAGAAAAUAUAUCAGGUGCUGCUGUUCACUACAUGCAAGUGCAGAAAAAUAAAAUGACGACAUUACCCUUAAUCCAUAAACACAGCAGAGACCGUUGAUAACAAAUAAUUAAUGCUAGCGAGACAUAUUAAUGCUGAAGAUCAUAAGACAGCCUCUACCCUCAGCAAUUUGAUUAAACCAACUCAAAACAAAUAAUUAUUAAAUAAAACCAAAAUCAGAAGUUCGAGGAACCAAAAAGCAGCCAAACUACCUUCAACCCCAGUUAUAGGCUCUUUAAAGUUUGCCAAAUUCACCUGUCACAAAAGAUAUUAGAAUUCAGUCAAUGGAGUUAUACAUCAAUACAUAUCUAUCCUCAACCAUCUUAAAAGAAAACUAAAAUGAUUGCACCAUAUAAUUGCACUUGUCAUUUUAUCAUUUUCUAGUUCUGUGUCACGAAAAUACCAAAAAUGAACAAGUCAUAAUUUACCCCAAUCUCUAUCAAAUCACAACUCAAAGGGGUUAACUUUCCUGUCCUUCUAUAAAUAAACAAAAUAGUACUUGCAAGAGAAACAAAAAUGAAGUUCAGAAAACAAAAGCAGUUCAGAAGCCAGCAAGAUCAUGCUUAGAUCUGUUCUUAAAAUAUCGAUGUUAUAAUGCAGACAGUUUAUUAUCACCGUAUAAAUAGUAACUAAUAAUAAUAAUAAUUACAGAGCAGAGAUUUAGAAAGAAUGAACUAAAAUUAAAAUAUUAGCAGUUGGAAUAUAAUAAACCCGAGCUAUACAAUACAGAUAAGCCAUAAGUAGCAGCGCUCCCUGAGAAAUCCAGCAAGCAACAGAAAAAAAAAAAAAAAAAUCAACUGUUGAAUAUAAAUGAUUGAAAAAUAGUUAAUUGGAAUGGAAAAAGCUUAUCAGGAUGAAAGAGUGAUUUGGACGACCAAAACCCAAAAAUGCCUUCUCCUCUGUCUCCGCAUAGCCGACCUGGGUGGACUGCCAUCCUUGACAAUGCAACUUCAUCAAUUUUCUCGAUGGUUUUUGCCAGAUAUUUGAUGUCAAAUCUCUUUUUUACCCUACUAAACGGUGCGUUUUCUCUAUUCUUUUACCCUCCUAAACGGUGCGCUUUGUUUGUUUCAUUUUCUUUUUGCAGCCGUUUGUGUCAAAUCUCAAUUUUGCCCUUCUAUCGUUAAAGAUAACGGUUGGAUAUGUUAGAUUUGGGGGCGUGGUGAUGGUUGUCGAAACAUUAGUG